UUAUUAGCAACCAGGGAGAUUUCUCCAUUUUCCUCUUGUCUACAGUGCGGCUACAAAUCUGGGAUUUUUUUAUUACUUCUUUUUUUUUCGAACUACACUUGGGCUCCUUUUUUUGUGCUCGACUUUUCCACCCUUUUUCCCUCCCUCCUGUGCUGCUGCUUUUUGAUCUCUUCGACUAAAAUUUUUUUAUCCGGAGUGUAUUUAAUCGGUUCUGUUCUGUCCUCUCCACCACCCCCACCCCCCUCCCUCCGGUGUGUGUGCCGCUGCCGCUGUUGCCGCCGCCGCUGCUGCUGCUGCUCGCCCCGUCGUUACACCAACCCGAGGCUCUUUGUUUCCCCUCUUGGAUCUGUUGAGUUUCUUUGUUGAAGAAGCCAGCAUGGGUGCCCAGUUCUCCAAGACCGCAGCGAAGGGAGAAGCCGCCGCGGAGAGGCCUGGGGAGGCGGCUGUGGCCUCGUCGCCUUCCAAAGCGAACGGACAGAGAAUGGCCACGUGAAGGUAAACGGCGACGCUUCGCCCGCGGCCGCCGAGUCGGGCGCCAAGGAGGAGCUGCAGGCCAACGGCAGCGCCCCGGCCGCCGACAAGGAGGAGCCCGCGGCCGCCGGGAGCGGGGCGGCGUCGCCCUCCGCGGCCGAGAAAGGUGAGCCGGCCGCCGCCGCUGCCCCCGAGGCCGGGGCCAGCCCGGUAGAGAAGGAGGCCCCCGCGGAAGGCGAGGCUGCCGAGCCCGGCUCGCCCACGGCCGCGGAGGGAGAGGCCGCGUCGGCCGCCUCCUCGACUUCUUCGCCCAAGGCCGAGGACGGGGCCACGCCCUCGCCCAGCAACGAGACCCCGAAAAAAAAAAAGAAGCGC
rnacentral:lncRNA from 1 species